rnacentral:rRNA from 1 species
CAAUAGCGUAUAUUAAAGUUGUUGCGGUUAAAAAGCUCGUAGUUGGAUUUCUGCUGAGGACGACCGGUCCGCCCUCUGGGUGAGUAUCUGGUUCGGCCUGGGCAUCUUCUUGGAGAGCGUAGCUGCACUUGACUGUGUGGUGCGGUAUCCAGGACUUUUACUUUGAGGAAAUUAGAGUGUUUCAAGCAGGCAUACGCCUUGAAUACGUUAGCAUGGAAUAAUAAGAUAGGACCCCAGUUCUAUUUGUUGGUUUCUAGAACUAAGGUAAUGAUUAAUAGGGAUAAUUGGGGCGAUUCGUAUUAACACGUCAGAGGUGAAAUUCUUGGAUUGUGUUACGACGAACUACUGCGAAAGCAUUUGCCAAGGAUGUUUUCAUUGAUCAAGAACGAAAGUGCGGGGAUCGAAGACGAUUAGAU